rnacentral:rRNA from 1 species
GAUGAACGCUGGCGGCGUGCCUAAUACAGGCAAGUCGAGCGAACAGACGAUUAGCUUUCUCCUCUUACGGUAGCGGCUUACGUGUGAUUAACACGUGGAUAACCUGCCUAUAAGACUGAGAGAACUUCGAGAAACGGCAUCUAGUAGCGCUGAAUAUAUUGACCGGCAUGGGUCAAUAGUGUAAGACGUGUUUGCUGUCACUGAGAGAUGUAGCCUCGCCUCAGUAGCUAGUUGGUAAGGUAACGGCCUACCAUGGCACCGAUGCUUAGCCGACCUGAGAGGGCGAUCGGCCACACUGGAACUGAGACACGGUCUAGACACCUACGGGAGGCAGCAGUAGGCAACCUUGGGCAAUGGGCGUGCGCAUAAUGCAGCAACGGCGCGUGCGUCAUGACGGUCUUCGGAUCGUAAACCUCUGUUAUUAGCGACGAACCAAUGUGUAAGUAACUAUGCACGUCUUGCCGGUACCCCCUAAGAAAGGCACGGCUAACUACGUG